rnacentral:misc_RNA from 1 species
GGCGAUUUCACACUCAGAACGAUCAUCUCCACAGAAACCUAUUUUACCCUGAAUAUAUUUUGAAAUGCACUUGCAAUCACUGUGUAGUUUUAGAUUAUAGAACAAUGAAGCAGGUAAUGUUAUCAAGUUGAUUAUAAUUUUUGCGCCAAAAUGAACAAUGAUACCAAUGAAUAACCAACUUCGUGUACAAGGAAUGUUGAACUUAUCCACACAUGAGUAUCUGCACUGGUUUGGGCAACAGGUGGAAACAAUCACUUCCACUUCACCGAGUGACCCCGCCAAAAGUAACCGUCAGUAUGUAGCAGGACAUUAUUUCAUUCGGGCAAAUGUCUCUCAUACGUUCAGCGUUGAUUGUGUUACAAUACCAGAGAACAGGCAGACACCGAUUAAGAAUGUUUGCACCCGACGACCAUGUGUUACCAGUCGUGUAACACAUGUUCUAUAAUAAACCCAAUCAAUAUUUCACCCCGAUGCCAUAUACUGAACAGCCGUUUUCGAUACGAGAUAUCUUUAUUCGUGAACUGCAAGUGCAAAAGGUCACCUUGAAUUAGCCAAUGGUUUGUUAAAUGGUCUGCCCAGACUCACAUACUGUACAUAUUGCUGAAGCAUGAUCCCCUACCAGUGUAGAUACCAGUGGUCGCUGACGAUUUUAAGUGGUAGGAGAUAGUAUUUCUUGUUAACGCAGUCAAGGGUAUAUAACCAGUGUGUCGAUGUAUUUCACUCAUGACAGUGUAGGCUAUUACCGUAUUAUCGGUAAUAUAGUGAGAUAAUACGGUAAUAGGAGAACAUUGUUCGGAAUUGGAAUAUAUUGGAGAUACUGGGAUUGUAUUGUUGUCAUUUCAGGCAAAACGUUAAGAUUUUGUACUUUCCAUCGUCCAACUAAGACGUAUCUCAUUUUUGCUAAGUUGUAUUAUUAGGUUUCAUAUUCAUCUGAACUUUUUCAUGCUUUGAGAAAAAAUGUAUUAUGCUUUGAAUAUGUGUUGAUAUGUGAUCAUCGUUGUUGUUGUUGGUCACUUGUUCUGUGUAUGCCGCCAUUCUUGUGCAAUUUCCUUUUGGAACAGAUAGCUCGGGUUGAGAGAUGAUUGCGAUUCGCUGACAAGGAUCGCACGCAUCAAUCGCUCAGGGGAGACAACCCACCCAGUGGGUUUACCGGCAGUCCAGAGACACCUGGAGUACAGAACUAUAGUAUUCCUUUCUUACAUGGAUAUACGUAGACAAGCGGAUCUGUCCUGGGUUCCGGUAUAAGGUGCGGUAUAACGGGAGAGACGAGGAGCUGUUCGAUGGGGAGGCACGCACACUGCUCAGUGUGGGGAUGGGCUACGGCAAGCGACUGACGU